AGCUUUUCGAAUCCGUGCUGAGAUUUCGUCAGACACCAACCCAUUAGGGAUGAUCAGUUUUCUAAGAUGAGUGAAGCU
rnacentral:pre_miRNA from 1 species